rnacentral:rRNA from 1 species
GACGAACGCUGGCUGCGUGCUUAACACAUGCAAGUCGAACGCUGAAGCCUGGUGCUUGCACCGGGUGGAUGAGUGGCGAACGGGUGAGUAACACGUGAGUAACCUGCCCCUGACUUCGGGAUAAGCCCGGGAAACUGGGUCUAAUACCGGAUACGACUGCCGGACGCAUGUCUGGUGGUGGAAAGUUUUUUCGGUUGGGGAUGGGCUCGCGGCCUAUCAGUUUGUUGGUGAGGUAAUGGCUCACCAAGACGACGACGGGUAGCCGGCCUGAGAGGGCGACCGGCCACACUGGGACUGAGACACGGCCCAGACUCCUACGGGAGGCAGCAGUGGGGAAUAUUGCACAAUGGGGGAAACCCUGAUGCAGCGACGCAGCGUGCGGGAUGACGGCCUUCGGGUUGUAAACCGCUUUCAGCAGGGAAGAAGCGCAAGUGACGGUACCUGCAGAAGAAGUACCGGCUAACUACGUGCCAGCAGCCGCGGUAAUACGUAGGGUACGAGCGCUGUCCGGAAUUAUUGGGCGUAAAGAGCUCGUAGGUGGUUGGUCACGUCUGCUGUGGAAACGCAACGCUUAACGUUGCGCGUGCAGUGGGUACGGGCUGACUAGAGUGCAGUAGGGGAGUCUGGAAUUCCUGGUGUAGCGGUGAAAUGCGCAGAUAUCAGGAGGAACACCGGUGGCGAAGGCGGGACUCUGGGCUGUAACUGACACUGAGGAGCGAAAGCAUGGGGAGCGAACAGGAUUAGAUACCCUGGUAGUCCAUGCCGUAAACGUUGGGCACUAGGUGUGGGGGGCAUUCCACGUUCUCCGCGCCGUAGCUAACGCAUUAAGUGCCCCGCCUGGGGAGUACGGUCGCAAGGCUAAAACUCAAAGGAAUUGACGGGGGCCCGCACAAGCGGCGGAGCAUGCGGAUUAAUUCGAUGCAACGCGAAGAACCUUACCAAGGCUUGACAUACACCGGACCGUCCUGGAAACAGGUCUUCUUCUUUGAAGCUGGUGUACAGGUGGUGCAUGGUUGUCGUCAGCUCGUGUCGUGAGAUGUUGGGUUAAGUCCCGCAACGAGCGCAACCCUCGUUCUAUGUUGCCAGCACGUGAUGGUGGGAACUCAUAGGAGACUGCCGGGGUCAACUCGGAGGAAGGUGGGGAUGACGUCAAAUCAUCAUGCCCUUUAUGUCUUGGGCUUCACGCAUGCUACAAUGGCUGGUACAGAGAGAGGCGAACCCGUGAGGGCAAGCGAAUCCCUUAAAGCCAGUCUCAGUUCGGAUCGUAGUCUGCAAUUCGACUACGUGAAGUCGGAGUCGCUAGUAAUCGCAGAUCAGCAACGCUGCGGUGAAUACGUUCCCGGGCCU